CACUUGCGAGUCAGCUACUUAUUCUCAAGAGAUGCAACGAUAACAAGGAGACCACUGCAGAAAAAUUGUUAUCGCCUUUUAUAGGUUUGAGACAACCAUCAGUAUGUGCUUC